CCAGACUCUGCCCACCUGGUACCUUUUCCAACCUGCUAGGGCAGAGCAUGGUUUCUGAGUGCCAGCUUUGUCCUUCUGGAUUUUAUUGUGAAGGUUCUGGCCUCAGUGCCCCCACUGGAGAGUGCUGGGAAGGUUAUUACUGUGACAGCAGCCAAGGGCCAGUCAGUGAUUUCACCCUUUACCCAUGCCCGCAGGGCUUUUACUGCCCACCCGGAACACACCAGGGCACUCAAUACAGCUGUCCCUCAGGUACCUUUGGUCCCAGGCAGAAGCUGAAGAGUAUCCAGGAAUGUCAGAGAUGCCCACUUGGAAAAUACUGUGAGUUUCCUGGUCUCCCAGCCCCAACAGGGGCCUGCUCUGAAGGAUUCUGGUGUAAGGGAGGUGCCCGAGUAAGAGACCCAAUGGAUGGAGUAACAGGGCUCCCUUGUCCUCCUGGGCAUUAUUGUCUUGCAGGAACACCCACUCCAUCUCUGUGCCCACAUGGCACCUGGUCCAGCAACGAAGGGAAUAAGAACCUGCGGGGAUGCCAGCCUUGUCCUGGAGGACAUUACUGCAAUAGCACUGGACUGGUAGUGCCAUCAGGACACUGCAGCUCAGGGUAGGUACAGUACGGCACACAUUUCUCUUCUGUAACUAUAAUGAGGGACAGCAGCAGCUAUCUCUUGGAAUGAGCUGAGGGCUGUGAGCUAGGACAUCCUGGAUUCUGAUUCUCAGGUCUGACAUGAAUUACCCACAACUCCUCACUUGAAGGGACCACACUCUCUUGGACCCUGGGUAGGAACAGCUGUCUGCAGUCAGUGUGCCUUUGUUGUCAACCCAGGGCUUGGGAUCUGCAGAAAUGCUCCUUCCUAGGUAUAAAGAGGAACCAGCAGCCUUGUGUGUUGAGCGCUCGGCAUUCCUCACGCUCACUGCUCAGUCAGUUAUCCACCUGUGUCCUUAGGGGGAUUGUUUCUUUGACUUGAGGUUGUUGGUGUUUGAUGGCUCUUGCUUCUGCUCUUGCUACUCCAGGUUUUACUGCAUUGCGGGGGCCAGAACACCAACACCCACUGAUGGCGUCUCAGGAGCUCCAUGCCCCGUGGGACACUCCUGUCCCCUGGGAACCCAAGAAUCCCAUCCCCUGCUCCCCUGGCACUUACAUGCCACAGACACAUGGAGAAGAGUGCUACACCUGCCCAGAGGGUAAAUACUGUGUCCCUCCUCAGAUGCCACAAUUUUGUCCUAAAGGUGAGUCGUAC
rnacentral:lncRNA from 1 species